GACGAACGCUGGCGGCGUGCUUAACACAUGCAAGUCGAACGGAAAGGCCCUGCUUUUGUGGGGUGCUCGAGUGGCGAACGGGUGAGUAACACGUGAGUAACCUGCCCUUGACUUUGGGAUAACUUCAGGAAACUGGGGCUAAUAUCGGAUAGGAGCUCCUGCUGCAUGGUGGGGGUUGGAAAGUUUCGGCGGUUGGGGAUGGACUCGCGGCUUAUCAGCUUGUUGGUGAGGUAGUGGCUUACCAAGGCUUUGACGGGUAGCCGGACUGAGAGGGUGACCGGCCACAUUGGGACUGAGAUACGGCCCAGACGCCUACGGGCGGCAGCAGUGGGGAAUAUUGCACAAUGGGCGGAAGCCUGAUGCAGCAACGCCGCGUGCGGGAUGACGGCCUUCGGGUUGUAAACCGCUUUCGCCUGUGACGAAGCGUGAGUGACGGUAAUGGGUAAAGAAGCACCGGCUAACUACGU
rnacentral:rRNA from 1 species